rnacentral:lncRNA from 1 species
UCCAGGAAGCAGCAAUAUCCGGAAUGGGAAUAUUGGAGACACCAACAGCACCCGGGAGAACAUCCUCUCUGAACUGAGGGAAGUUCUUUGCCCUGCACAGUCUCCACAGAACAGCACCAAGGCUUCUCCACUCUAAAAUCUUUACCAAAAUCUUGUGGCACGCCUGGAUUGAAGCCCCAAACGCAGCUCAGGGUGCCCUUUGGGAUGAAGUGGCAUCUUGGUGACCUGACUUGGCUCUGAUCCCAUUUUCAAGGGGCCGAGGGAUGCAGCAUCUGCCUUCAGGGCUGGGCGCCGGGCAGGACCAAGUGCUACUGGCUACAACCAUUGGAGCAAGGGCCGGGACGACUGCAGGGAUGUUGAGAGCCUGACAGAAGAAUGGCUAAGAGAGAAAGGACAUGAUACUGUAAGAUUAGUUAAAGUAUGAGGCCUCAAGGUCAGUAUGUCCUGGAAGAGAGAGUUACAUAAAUAACAAGAUAUCGAAACUGCCAAAAUAUGCAGAACUGCAAGCUGAAGAUAAGGAACUGGUAACUGCAAGGCUAACCACAAAGAACAAUAUGCGUCAAUGGUAGCAGACCAAUAAUGAGCUGAGUUUUUGCAAUAUGUAUGAGCUAAUUAAAAGCAUUAUAAGUUGUGCAUAAGAUUUCAAUAAACUGAGACUUGCUGACCAUGAUAGCAUGAGGCUUGUCUUCCACGGCUCCGGUAAUCCCCGACCUCUGGCGACACAGGGAUCAGGGGGCCAUGCUGCUGCUGCUGUGGGAUCAGAAUGAGCUGGUGGAAGGAAUGAUGGGGGUUGGGAAUAUGGAAAAGACCCAGGGCUGGGGACUGGUGGCACCCUGGGAAGGGUGAGGGCGUUCCCACAAUCCUGGCAUCAGCCCCCACCCCAGGCCCAAGCCACCCAGGCGCCUCUAGAGGACACGGGUGGAGCUCAGUCCUGGGAUCCAUUGGCCCAUCAAGGUUGGCUUCUCUUCUUCUGAUCCAGAAACCCUUGAAUGAAACCCUGCAGAAAUCUGGGCAGGGCUUCUGGAUCGGGCUCUUGGUGCCCCCAGCCGGGACGGGCUGGAUGUGGCUGAACGGCUCCCACCUGGACCGGCACCGGUUCUAGCUGGAUGUCAGGGAGAGAUGUGGCGAUUGUGGGAUGAUCAGGACCAGCAGAAUCAUCCCUCAGCGGCACGGCGAGGAAUUGCAGUGGAUCUGCCAGGGAGAAGCCACCAAACUCUACUCUGG